GACGAACGCUGGCGGCGUGCUUAACACAUGCAAGUCGAACGGAAAGGCCCUGCUUUUGUGGGGUUCUCGAGUGGCGAACGGGUGAGUGACACGUGAGUAACCUGCCCUUUACUUUCUGGUAACUUCAGGAAACUGGGGCGAAUACCGGAUAGGAUCUUCUGCUCCGUGUUGUGGGUUGGAAAAUUUCGGCGGUUGGAGAUGGAAUCGCGGGUUAUGAGCUUGUUGGUGGGGUAGUGGCUUACGAGGGCUUUGACGGGUAGGCGGCAUGAGAGGGUGACCGGCGACAUGGGGACUAAGAUACGGCCCAGAAUGCUACGGGAGGCAGCAGUGGGGAAUAUUGCAAAACGGGCGGAAGUCUGAUGCAGCAACGUUGCGUGCGGGAUGACGGGUUUCGGGUUGUAAACAUCUUUCGACUGUGACGAAGCGUGAGUGACGGUAAUGGGUAAAGAAGCAACGGCUAACUACGUG
rnacentral:rRNA from 1 species